CUUCGUGAUCUGGUCCACGCAUCACAAACCCCAAUCCCACUCUCUUCAUUCUCUCCUCUAGAACGAACCGCAAUGGCAAACCCUAAGGUUUUCUUUGACAUGACGAUCGGAGGCCAGCCGGCCGGCCGAAUCGUGAUGGAGCUCUUCGCCGACACCACCCCCGCACCGCCGAGAACUUCAGGGCUCUCUGCACCGGCGAGAAGGGCAACGGCCGCUCCGGCAAGCCCCUCCACUACAAGGGAUCCGCCUUCCACCGCGUGAUCCCCGGGUUCAUGUGCCAGGGAGGUGACUUCACCGCCGGAAACGGCACCGGAGGAGAGUCGAUCUACGGCGCCAAGUUCGCCGACGAGAACUUCAAGAAGAAGCACACCGGACCUGGAAUAUUAUCCAUGGCCAACGCGGGUCCCGGAACCAACGGAUCUCAGUUCUUCAUCUGCACAGCCAAGACCGAGUGGCUCGACGGCAAGCACGUGGUGUUCGGGCAGGUGAUCGAGGGUCUGGAUGUGGUGAAGAACAUCGAGAAGGUCGGAUCUGGACAGGGAAGGACCUCGAAGCCGGUGGUUAUCGCCGACUGCGGCCAGCUAUCCUAGACGCCGCCGCUUGGGCUGCUGAUGUAUGGACGAUGGAAACGUCGUAUUAGGGUUUGGGUUAUGGACCUUAUUAUGGUUUUAAUUUUCUAAUUUUCCGUAUAAUGCUCUUCCGGUGGUUUCUUUGCUGAGACUCUCAGAUUCUUUAUUCUGUAUUGAAAUGAGCUAUUAUCGUUAAAUAAAAUAGGUCUUGUUCUCAAUUAUCAUUUAA